rnacentral:rRNA from 1 species
UACGUAGGGCGCAAGCGUUGUCCGGAAUUAUUGGGCGUAAAGAGCUCGUAGGCGGUGUGUCACGUCGGCCGUGAAAACCUGCAGCUUAACUGUGGGCGUGCGGUCGAUACGGGCAUCACUGGAGUUCGGCAGGGGAGACUGGAAUUCCUGGUGUAGCGGUGAAAUGCGCAGAUAUCAGGAGGGAACACCCGGUGGGCGAAGGCGGGGUCUC